rnacentral:tRNA from 1 species
GUGGCCGUGCCGGAGUGGUUACCGGGCAUGACUAGAAAUCAUGUGGACUUUGCCCGCGCAGGUCCAAGUCCUGCCGGUCACG